GGCCCCGCUCACAAAGCCUCUCCCUCCACCAGGAACCGGGUGGAGAUGUUGGAGCUUGGAUGGGCUUCGUGGCUGUGAACAGAAGCCUAGACUUUCGAUGAAUUUGAUCUCCAAAUAAAGAUAGAAGGAUCUUGUGUUGCUGGCUGGAUCAUGAGAUAGUAGUGGCUAACACUUAUUUUAAAAACUCAUUCAAAUUCUUAGAAAGAAAAAAACCAGAUUCCAAAGUGACCAUAUAAAUAUUGCUUUUAGAGGAAGAUUUUUGAAGAAACUAUUUGGCAAAAAUAUAUUUUAUAAACUCUUUUCACCUCCUGAUAUUUUGCAUUAGAAAACCAUGAGUGAUUUAUGGCCAAAACUUCCUUUGGCAUCUGUUUAAAUGAUCUAGCUCUUUCAACUUGCCUCAAUGAAAUUCCAGUUCAUUAAUCAAUAUUCAUUUAUUGAAUGUUUUUUACAUGCAAAAUGGAACCAGUGUUUCUUAGCUCAACUUGUUCCUUGGCACAUGAUUUCUGAUAUCCUGAAUUAUAACUUCUUUACUAGUACUUAGAAAAGCUAGUUUCUGCUUCCUCUCCUUUUUCUGUUUUAUCUUCUGGUUCCUAGCUCAAGAGCAUUGUGUCUGACAUAUGAAUAUUUGUUAAGUGAGUGAAUAAAUUAGAAAAUUACAUUUAAAGCAGAUGUCGUAGGCUAGUCAGUAAAAUGUACUUGGUGUGUGGUGGUCAAGACAUUGUGGAGUAUCAGCUUUCUUCAUAAUAAUGCCUGAUAUUUGGAUAGCGCUCCUCACUCUCACAAAACUCUUUCACACCUAUAAUUUCAUUUGAUUUGCUGUUAAACCAUAGAGAACGUUAUUAGCCUUUAUAUACCUUCAUUUUCCACCCAUGGCAAAAAAAGAAAAAGAUGCCCAAUAGAUAUACCAUUAUCUUUUCAUCAAGAUUCUGUAAGAGUUAUUGAGUAAUUCCCCAGAAUACUGUUAGAAGUAAAUCUGAAUAUAAAAGGGAACACCAUCACUAUUGAAGUUUUUAAAGCCUAUUUGUUAUGGUAGAAAUGGGAAAAGCUACCCCAAUAAAUUAAUACAAUUCAAUUAUGAAUAUCAUGUUACCUCUUACUGGGACUUGGCAGAAUGUGAUAUUGGGGCUUUAAAAUCUUACUGAGAUGAUUCUACAAGGAAAGCCAUAUAACAUAUCUGCUUAUUUUGUAGCCAACUUUGUGGCUUAUUUUUUAUACUUCCAGGCCUCUCUCUAAGUGUUUUCCCAAGUAGUUUGCACAGCCAGCCUUUGUGCACAUGAGUUUUAUUCCUUAGGCUGUGUAUAAAUUUCUUCAGGGCAGAGGUUACUUGAGGCCCAGUGGUCAAAGGUAUGGGUUCAAACCCCAGGUCUACCACUUGCCAGCUGUAGGAGCCUGGAAAUUCACUCAGCUCUCUGACUCUAAGCUUCCUUGCAUCUCAAAUAGUAAUUAUUGUACUUACCUCCCAGAGAAUGGAUGAGAAUCAAGUCAACGUCUGUGCAACGUUACCAGUACAGUACCUGGCAUAGAAUAAAUACACAAUAAAUGAAACUCAGCAGCCAAGAAGACUCUUCUGUCAGAGCUUCUGACCAAGAGUUGGGAAACUGGAAUUUCCAUGCUCAACAGUUACUCCAGAAGGAAUUAUACAUGUGAACAGUGUUGUUUUACUCCACUACCAUGAUAAAAUGAUUAAACUUUCCAGAAAUUUCCAAUUGGCAAGAUUAUUAUGACGUGGAGAAGUGUCUCAACCUCUCUGAUUGGACACCAUUGCCGUGUUAUGGGAUGAAGACUGGGAAUGUCAGUGUUUCCAUGAUGGCCUCUGUGGCUUUUAGUGAGAGGGGCUUAGACCUGUGAUGUUGAACAAGCAGGGGGGUGGCAUGUUCUUUCAAAAAGCGUAGAGAACACUCAGUAACUGUUGCCUCAUAAACUACAUUGGGGCCAGCCGAGUGGCGCGGUGGUUAAGAGCUGGCUUGGGACGCCAGAGGGCCCC